rnacentral:rRNA from 1 species
CAGCCGCCACGGUAAAACGUAGGUGGCAAGCGUUGUCCGGAAUUAUUGGGCGUAAAGGGCUCGCAGGCGGUUUCUUAAGUCUGAUGUGAAAGCCCCCGGCUCAACCGGGGAGGGUCAUUGGAGACUGGGAAACUUGGGUGCAGAAGAGGAGAGUGGAAUUCCACGUGUAGCGGUGAAAUGCGUAGAGAUGUGGAGGAACACCAGUGGCGAAGGCGACUCUCUGGUCUGUAACUGACGCUGAGGAGCGAAAGCGUGGGGAGCGAACAGGAUUAGAUACCCCUGUAGUCCCUGUCUCUUAUAA